rfam:TPA: Bos taurus chromosome 7, whole genome shotgun sequence.
CUGUCUCUUGCUUCAACAGUGCUUUGAUGGAACAG